rnacentral:lncRNA from 10 species
GUUUGGGGCAGUGCCAAGGCUCCCACCAGCCCUGGAGCACUUCACAUCCGCUGUCCCAUCCCAAAACCUUGGUGGGCAGAGAAAUAGAGGCGAAAAAUGACUCUUGGAGAAGUUAAGUCACUUGAUCUGGACCACAUAGCAAGUACAGAAUUGGGGUCAGAGUUCCAAAGGCACCUUGCACACAGCCCUAGGAGGAGGUGACCUCCUGUGGUCAUCUGACGCUGACCCUUGGUGAUGGCUCACUGGUUCCCAACCACUUCCAACCUUCCUGCUGUCCUCACUGCUCUAGUCUGGUGGGGCAGUUUCCGGGUUAGCUGGCUGCCUCCUCUACUAACUCCCAGCCACUGACUUCCCAUCAGAGGACCUUCUCUGAGUUGAGACUGUGUGGAAAAGGCUAACAUUCCCUCCAAAAUGUGUGCUCCCUCUUCCAUAGGCCAGAGUGAGCCCUGUGAAGUAGCUGCAUUUCCCAGCCCUCUGCAGUAUAGAGAGAUGGGGGCAUGUCAUUAUUCUUGCCAAUGAUUCUGCCUGGGUGCACAGACUCAAUUCCUGGGGGACAGUGGAGCCACGGGAUGUAAAGGGCCUGCACCCCUGAAUGCCAGAAUGGAGGUGCACUGCCCCCAACCAGGGACAUGGACUGUUAGGUGAGCAAAAAAUAAAUUUUGAUUAGGAUAAGCCACUAAAAUGCUCACCUGUUACAGCAGAUAGCAUUGCCCUAACCCAGUAGUGAGGUGCCAACAAUGGGACACAUUCCGUGAUGUUCCCCAUUCAAUCCUUUGAUCCCCGCAACAGCCCCACAAGGUAUAUAUUAGUACUGUCAUCCUCAUUUUCAGGUAAGGCUCAGGGAGAUUAAGGGAUGCACCCAAGGUCAAACACAACCAGUAGGCAGUAGGCCAGGAUUGAAUCUGGAUGUCUGACUCCAGAGACUUCUGGAGGUUCAGUUACCAGCACACGGUGGAGAUCUUCCUCCACCACCACCACCUAGAGAGAAUGAGCAGGAAACCUCAGAAGAAAUGGCACCCAAAAGAGCCAGAAGUGUCGCCUCAGCCAGCUAAGGUUGGAACCACUUACCAACGCCCAGAAUCACGUCUUUCCAAUCAAACCCAAUGACUGUUCAUCUCUGGGUUUCAGUUUCCUGGUUUGUAAACUCCCAUGAGUAAACAAUCUCUGAUUAUCCCGACCACAGAGAGGGUUCAAUCAGGUGUGCUGGUGGUCUUCAAUCAAACAUGGAUUUACCUCCCCUAUUCUAUUCUUCAAAGAGGGUGACAAAUCUGC